rnacentral:rRNA from 1 species
CAGCAGUGAGGAAGGUGGGUAUGUUAAUAGCAUAUUCAUUUGACGUUAGCUGCAGAAGAAGCACCGGCUAACUCCGUGCCAGCAGCCGCGGUAAUACGGAGGGUGCGAGCGUUAAUCGGAAUUACUGGGCGUAAAGCGCAUGCAGGUGGUUUGUUAAGUCAGAUGUGAAAGCCCGGGGCUCAACCUCGGAAUUGCAUUUGAAACUGGACAAACUAGAGUACUGUAGGAGGGGGUAGAAUUUCAGGUGUAGCGGUAGAAAUGCGUAGAGAUCUAGAAGGAAUACCGGUGGCGAAGGCCGGCCCCCUGGACAGAUACUGACACUCAGANUGCGAAAAGCGUGGGGAGCAAACAGGAUUAGAUACCUUGGUAG